rnacentral:rRNA from 1 species
UACGUAGGGGGCUAGCGUUGUCCGGAUUUAUUGGGCGUAAAGAGCGUGUAGGCGGCCAGGUAGGUCUGGUGUGAAAACUCGAGGCUUAACCUCGAGAUGUCAUCGGAAACCAUCUGGCUAGAGUCCGGAAGAGGAGAGUGGAAUUCCGAGUGUAGCGGUGAAAUGCGCAGAUAUCGGGAAGAACACCUAUGGCGAAGGCAGCUCUCUGGGACGGUACUGACGCUGAGACGCGAAAGCGUGGGGAGCGAACAGG